rnacentral:tRNA from 1 species
GCGCCUGUAGCUCAAAGGAUAGAGCAUCAGAUUCCGGUUCUGAGGGUUGUAGGUUCGAGUCCUAUCAGGCGCGCCA